ensembl:lncRNA
AACAAAAUACUAGGUUUUUUCCAAGGAAAAACAAGUGGGCUGGCUGCUUAAAGAGAAAGUGCAAAGAAAGAAAGCAAAAGUUAGCAGCGUGCAUAUAUUCAGAAAGCAGAUGCAAAGCAGUGAGCAUUAAAAGCCAAGUGUGGAACUGCUGACAAGACAUGGACACUGUAUCCAGCAAUUUCACUGCUCUGGUGGAGAAGGUCUACUCAUUCUUCUGGGGGACAAGCAGCAGUUCAACAGCCAAUCAGAAUCAGACAGAGCCAUCAGAGAGCUGUAAUGAAAGUGACAUCCCAGUCACAAAACCUGCUGAAACAUUGGUGUCUGAGGUCCAGGAGGUUAGCAGUCCUGUACAAACCACUGUAAAUGCACAUUCAGGUCAUUAUGGUAUGAAACAUCUACUUUAUAACUCUAACCCUAUAAAAUCAAUUCCCAAUCAAGAAAAAUCAAUGUUAUUUAAUCAU